CUUCCAUUUGAUGAACCUGGAGCAGUUACUAUCUGCUGCUAAAGUUUCUAUUAUAUUACCAAUGCAAGAAAAAAAGUGUCCUUGAGCUUUCUGUCUGAUUGUGGCAGCCAAGAUUGAAUAGAGGAGUAAUGGU
rnacentral:snoRNA from 1 species